CAUUUUUGGAAAUGAGGUUGCGCAGCAGUCAGCCAAUUGAUAUAGUCGAAGUCGGAGUUCGAGUCUAGCUCUUCGUGGCAACGAAAGACAGACCUAUUCCAGUGCAUUUCUAACUCAAACCACAGAUCAGGUAGGCUUAAGUUUUUGUUUCUCAAUUGUGAAUGUCCUUGACCUACUGCAUGUACAUGUAGGUUUUAAUGAUGUAAUGUCAGUGGCCGUUCUCAUUAUGCUUUCUAAAACUAGUUUACUGGAAACCGGUUUAAGAAACCAGUUUGGAAGAUCGCUUUCCUAGCAUUCCCACUUCACUUAAAGCGAUCUUGAUGCUAUGGUAAUGCUCUCAGUGGGGUGACACGUUUCGCGCAAAAUCCGAAACCGCAGCGUAGGCAUUUUACACAUAGCGUGCUCAAAAUGUAUGAAGAUCGCUUCCCGAAGAACGGUUGUGUCCUUACUUAUGCUAAAACUAGUUUAACGAGGCAAAGCGAUCUUUAAAAAAACGCGAGGUGAUUUUCUGAACCGGUUUGGAAGAUCGCUUCCAAUAUCGCUUCGACCGUUCUCACUACAAGUUAAACUAGUUUCCAUUAAACUAGUUUUAGGAAGGUAGUGAGAACGGUGUCUAAGUCAUUUUGUACAAGGAAGGGGGGGGGGGGGGUGUUGAUAGAAAGAGAAAAUAAUUUUGUAUCAGAUACUGUAGGCAGUAUCUUUGGAGAAAAUAGUCGCGAGGAAGAGCUACAGGAGCACCUAGAAAAUGAUAUGGAUGCCAUCAUCUGAUUUUUACAUGAUAGUUCACUUGGUUGGAAAACUGAGAGGAAUAGGUACCAUUGGUGUAGACAGCUUGACUGUGUAAGGUUUCUGUAUUUCUGCUGGGGUGAACUAAAAAUAACUCCUAACUAUUGUUAGUGAAUAAACAAUGCUUAACAGUCAACCCUAUUCAUCUAACAUACCAUGGGCAUUGCAGAACUACUUACAUAAUAGCAUAGACAUGUAGCAUUUAAAUGGGUAACAGCGAAGAAGUCCGUUUGUGUUAUUGAUAAAAUUGUUUAACUUGAUUUUUUUUUAAACCUGGUUCAAAACAGAUGUACAUGUAUGUACAUAUUUGCAUAAUUCAAAAAUCCUAAAACAUGUAUGUACAUACAUGUACACAUAUACAUAAAUUUAUAUACAGUAAUAAAAAAUUGAUAGGAAUUUGAUUUAUUCUGAAGCUGUGCAGACAAAAUAGAAGUACUUAACUAAUAUAAGAAGUGAAGAGGCCGUAAAUACAUACUGUAGAAUAUUGGCAAUUUUUGUGUCUGAAGAUAAAAAAGUAACAAAUUGUUCAAAGAUAAGUUAAUUCUGCCAGGUCAUAUUUUAUCUUUAUCAGACAUUCAGACUUGUAUAAUUUAGGGUUUGUGUAAAGAUAUGAAUUUGUAUGGAAAUACUCUAUAGAUACCGGUAGUUGUGUCUCACUUUUCUUCAUUUUCCAUUAGCUUUUGGCUCAGUAAUGCUUGUAAGAUCAACAUUAAUAGCUCAAUCUUGCUAAUUUGGUAUGAAAACAACUUUCUGUGUAAAAGUAAAAUUCAAUAUAUUUCACAUCGCUUAUUUCCAUACUCAAACUAUGUGACAUAUCAGCUUGCCCUUAACAAACAAGAAGAAAAGGGGAACCUAGCAAACUGUUUUGAAGUGAAAAUAACUUUUUUUGUGCUCAUUGGAGCUGUUGACAAGGAGUAUAGAGUGUAAUAUCUCAGAUGUAACCAAAGUAGUGAUUUAAAAUACAAAGAGGAAUCAGAAAUCCUUUUGUGUUUGCAGAACAGCAAUAGAGGACUUACUUCUUACCAGGGGCAUACUUAAACACAGUAUUUACUUUAUGACUUGCUUAUGGGGCUGUAAGAAUAUUUUCAGGGGUUUAAAUUGAUCUAUUGGUCUGCAUUUUGUGAAUAGUUUACCCUUUCAGAUCAGUGCUUAACAAUGGCAUGGAUAAAAUGCAUGUUCCGUCAGUACAUGAGCCAACAAUAUAGGUCUAUAUGUUUCCAGCGGUGUACCCAGGAUUUUCCAAAAGGGGGGCAAAUUUUUGGAUGAUAUUUCGUCCGCGAAAAAAAAUUGACAAGCAAAAAAAAAAAAAAAAGGUCUUCAAUCACAAAUUAAAAGAUUUCGUACCAGAAAAAAAUUGACAAGC